CACCUACGGGGGGCAGCAGUGAGGAAUAUUGGUCAAUGGGCGGAAGCCUGAACCAGCCAAGUCGCGUGAGGGAAUAGGGCCCUACGGGUCGUAAACCUCUUUUGCCGGGGAGCAAGGGCGGGGACGUGUCCCGGCCCGGAGAGUACCCGGAGAAAAAGCAUCGGCUAACUCCGUGCCCGCAGCCGCGGUAAUACGGAGGAUGCGAGCGUUAUCCGGAUUUAUUGGGUUUAAAGGGCGCGUAGGCGGGCUUUUAAGUCAGCGGUAAAAAUUCGGGGCUCAACCCCGGCCGGCCGUUGAAACUGGGG
rnacentral:rRNA from 1 species